rnacentral:rRNA from 11 species
AACUCAAAGGAGACUGCCAGUGAUAAACUGGAGGAAGGUGGGGAUGACGUCAAGUCAUCAUGGCCCUUACGACCAGGGCUACACACGUGCUACAAUGGCGCAUACAAAGAGAAGCGACCUCGCGAGAGCAAGCGGACCUCAUAAAGUGCGUCGUAGUCCGGAUUGGAGUCUGCAACUCGACUCCAUGAAGUCGGAAUCGCUAGUAAUCGUGGAUCAGAAUGCCACGGUGAAUACGUUCCCGGGCCUUGUACACACCGCCCGUCACACCAUGGGAGUGGGUUGCAAAAGAAGUAGGUAGCUUAACCUUCGGGAGGGCGCUUACCACUUUGUGAUUCAUGACUGGGGUGAAGUCGUAACAAGGUAACCGUAGGGGAACCUGCGGUUGGAUCACCUCCUUACCUUAAAGAAGC